rnacentral:rRNA from 1 species
AGCGAACGCUGGCGGCAGGCCUAACACAUGCAAGUCGAACGAAGUCUUCGGACUUAGUGGCGGACGGGUGAGUAACACGUGGGAACGUGCCUUUAGGUUCGGAAUAACUCAGGGAAACUUGUGCUAAUACCGAAUGUGCCCUUCGGGGGAAAGAUUUAUCGCCUUUAGAGCGGCCCGCGUCUGAUUAGCUAGUUGGUGAGGUAAAGGCUCACCAAGGCUACGAUCAGUAGCCGGUCUGAGAGGAUGACCAGCCACAUUGGGACUGAGACACGGCCCAAACACCUACGGGAGGCAGCAGUGGGGAAUCUUGCGCAAUGGGCGAAAGCCUGACGCAGCCAUGCCGCGUGGAUGAUGAAGGUCUUAGGAUUGUAAAAUCCUUUCACCGGUGAAGAUAAUGACUGUAGCCGGAGAAGAAGCCCCGGCUAACUUCGUGCCAGCCGCCGCCGUAAAAC